ensembl:ncRNA Y51A2B.13 ncRNA
UUGACGUAAUUAUCGUGCCUUGACACAUUUCUAGUGCCUUGGCGCGAUUUUAGUGCCUUGUCGCAAUUCUAGCGCAUUGACGCAUUUCUAGUGCCUUGGGGCAUUUCUAGCGCCUUGACGCAAUUCUAAUGCCUUGACGCGAUUUUAGU